GUAGAGUUAAGACGUUACAUCCAGCUGUACAUGGAGGCAUUUUGGCACGUAAUUCAGAAAGCGACCGUGCUGACAUGAAAAAACAAGAUUUUAAAUACAUCAAGUUGGUUGCUUGUAAUUUGUAUCCAUUUGUAAACACUGUAUCAAAAGAAGGUGUGACUGUAGCGGAAGCUGUGGAACAAAUUGAUAUUGGU